GUAAAAUUGGUUUAUGCGUUAUAAAUUAUGCACUAAGGUUUUUAAAGAUGUCUUCCAAUGUUAAAUGGUCAGUGGAUGGUUUUGACUUUCGAAUUCGUGAGUUGGAACAGGAUGACAUACCAGAAGUCCGUGAUAUGAUCCUCGGCUGUUUGUAUGAAACACUUUUUAAUACAUUAAAGGCUUUAAUGUGGAAAAAUUGGCGAAUACAGAUUGUUCUGUCAGGAUUGUCCGUGUUGCUUCUCAAUUACAUUGGCUACGACGCACAGUAUAUAGCUGUUUUCGUCUCUGUUCAAAUAUUUCUGUUAGCUUUCACAAAUGCAGCAUCGUUUUACCGUUUUUUUGUACCGGGCGUUCAAGAACAGCGUUCAAGAAGAGAAUUGUCAACGCAGACAAGACGUACGCGAAGUUUUGGAUUUCCGAGGUUUUCAAAGAUGGUCAAUGGAAAAAAAUAGGAACAGCAGGGCUGCAUGAAGCAGAUCAAUUAGAAAGAUGUGGGUUUCCAAUUGGGACAGUAAUUACCUUGGGAAAAGUUUAUGUAUUAUCUGAUUGGAGAUCGAUGAAAAUAGGAACAAGAAUGGUGAAACACGCACUCGAUCAAGCUGCUUCGAUGAAGUAUAAAGCCGUUACUCUCCAAGUUAAUGAAACACAACCAGCCGCCCUGUCUUUAUAUAAAAAGAAGGGAUUUGGAAUAGUGAAUGUGAUAAAUACGGCAUGUUUUUCGCUGCUUCACGGGGUGGAUGUCUACGGCAUGGCAAGAAAACUUUCGUAAAACAAGAGUCAUUGUGAAGCGUCCUUACAUCGUUUGUAAUUUUCGACGUUAACAUUUUUGUUUUCUUCACGAUAAACUGCUCUCAGUAGUUAGGACGUUUAAAGAAUUAAAAAUUGUGUGUCUUCAAUAGCAAAAUGAUAUUGAACAAAUUCCUUUGUUGCGUGUAUAAAGUCUACACAG